rnacentral:rRNA from 1 species
UGUAGGUGAAGUAGCGCGGUGGUCCCACCUGACCCCAUGCCGAACUCAGAAGUGAAACGCCGUAGCGCCGAUGGUAGUGUGGGGUCUCCCCAUGCGAGAGUAGGGAACUGCCAGGC